rnacentral:rRNA from 1 species
AUUGGGAAGGAGGCUUCCCUAGUACCGCAGCUAACGCGUGAAGUCGACCGCNUGGGGAGUACGGUCGCCAAGAUUAAAACUCAAAGGAAUUGACGGGGACCCCGCACAAGCGGUGGAUGAUGUGGANUAAUUCGAUGCAACGCGAAAAACCUUACCUACCCUUGACAUGUNCAGGAAGUCCGCUGAGAGGUGGAUGUGCCCGAAAGGGAACCUGAACACAGGUGCUGCAUGGCUGUCGUCAGCUCGUGUCGUGAGAUGUUGGGUUAAGUCCCGCAACGAGCGCAACCCUUGUCAUUAGUUGCUACAUUCAGUUGGGCACUCUAAUGAGACUGCCGGUGACAAACCGGAGGAAGGUGGGGAUGACGUCAAGUCCUCAUGGCCCUUAUGGGUAGGGCCUCACACGUCAUACAAUGGCGGAUACCAGAGGGUUGCCAACCCGCCGAGGGGGAGCCAAUCCCAGAAAGUCCGUCGUAGUCCGGAUCGGAGUCUGCAACUCGACUCCGUGAAGUCGGAAUCGCUAGUAAUCGCGGAUCAGCAUGUCGCGGUGAAUACGUUCCCGGGUCUUGUACACACCGCCCGUCACACCAUGGGAGCGGGUUUCACCAGAAGUAGCUAGCCUAACCGNCAAGGGGGGCGGUUACCACGGUGAGAUUCGUGACUGGGGUGAAGUCGUAACCAAGGUACC